rnacentral:rRNA from 1 species
AUUGAACGCUGGCGGCAGGCCUAACACAUGCAAGUCGAACGAGUGGCGGACGGGUGAGUAAUGUCUGGGAAACUGCCUGAUGGAGGGGGAUAACUACUGGAAACGGUAGCUAAUACCGCAUACCAUCAGAUGUGCCCAGAUGGGAUUAGCUUGUUGGUGGGGUAACGGCUCACCAAGGCGACGAUCCCUAGCUGGUCUGAGAGGAUGACCCGCCACACUGGAACUGAGACCAGGUCCCAGCUCCUACGGGAGGCAGGCGUGGGGAAUAUGGCACAAGGGGCGGCAGCCUGAUGCAGCCCUGCCGCGUGGAUGAAGGAGGGCUUCGUGUUGUAAAGGACUUUCCGCGGGGCGGCGUUACCCGCAGAAGAAGCACCGGCUAACUCCGUGCCAGCAGCCGCGGUAAUUC